CGCUGGUUCCUGUGAGCUGGGCGGAGGGCGGGGGCUAGGGCUGCGCAGGCGGAAGAGCGAGCCGGGAAGAGCGGAAAAUCGGCCGAUGCCGCAGCAACUGCCCGAGUUCUGCGUGCUCCCGUAGCCGCCUAUUCGGGUAGAGCGGAGCAGAACUGUGCUCCAGUGCGGGAGAGCAGUAGUGUCCCCUCCCGUCCUCAGUAGGAAGCGAGCCCUGAAGCGGGAGGCGUGGUAGCCACCGGCACCUACAACGCCGUUCUCCGGAGUGAUUUCCUGCGGGCUCUGCGGCCUCUAGACAGCACCGAGGGGGCGCUUCAGGAAUGUACUCUGCACAGGCAGGCCUGUGACACCCCCCCUCCCCCACCUUGAGGAUGUGAAUCUUCGAAGCGGACAGCUCCAGCCUGAUGUCCCUCAGGGUACACAGAAGCUUAGGACACAGAGGUAGCCGAGGAGGCUCCCUUAGAACGCCAGGUUGCCCUCAGAUUUCCCUGUCCACCACGUGAAAGGGGGGGGGAGAAAUUUGAGGGACACGGUAGACCUCAGACACCGGAAAGAAGCUGACAGGUCUUCACAGGCUUGGAGUCCAAUUACACUGAGCACAAAUCCAUCAUCCCUAAGAAAAUGAGCAAUAGAACAAGCAGCUUUCUGACAAGACCCAUGUAAUAUACUAUUGUGACCCGCUAUCCUGGUUAAGAGGUUCAGAAAUCUGAUUUUAUCAGAGGUGUGUAACGUGAUUUCUUCAUCUUCCAAACUUGUAAGAGCCUGAGUUUUGAAAAAAAAGAAAGGGGGUGGAGAAAGAAAGAAAAAGAAAGAAAAAGAAAGAAAGAAAGAAAGAAAGAAAGAAAGAAAGAAAGAAAGAAAGAAAGAAAGAAAAGAAAAGAAAGAGGAAAAAAAGACAAGGAAAAUGAAAAGUCAACCUGAGAAUUUCCACUGAACAGCACCUAUCAGGCUGCCAUUUGGGUCUUGUCAUUAGUGACAAAGAGGAAGCUGUUUGGUUUGGGGUGUAUUCUAUCCUGGAGAUCCUUGUCUGGCUUCACUGUCUUGAUUGGCCUUUUGUCACUGACUGUUGCAAAAUGUGCCCCUCCACUUGUGUAGCUCUCUAUGCUCUUCCCCAGACAUGUUUUGGGUGCAGAAAUCCUUCUGUGAAAACGCCUGACCUGGCCUUGACUACAUGGGCAGAAGGUGGAGUGAGAAGCAUUAAUUGCUAUUUCAAGAAUAGUACCCUAUUAUAUACUUACAUUUUGUAAGUGAGCUUACAGUCUAGAAAGUGAAGGGGAUUAGAAUAUGCCACCACAAAGUAUGCUGCUUUGCCAUAAGGAUUAUUUUGAGCUUUUUCUGGUUUUUAGAUUAAGCGGGACCAUACUAAAGGAACUAUACCCAAGGAGCCUUCUGUGAACCUGGACCUGACUUAGAUGACAUGAUUCUGGAUUUUGAGCUGAUGUUGUAAUGGAAAGAAGAUUUUAGAAGUCUUGGGAUGGGUGUUUGGGAGAAUAAGGACCAGAAGCCACGCAUCCCCUUCAGUUUGUGGAGUGAUUUGCAGCUUUGGGAACCCAGGAAUGAUUUGGCAAUGGGGGCAGCCUCCCUGAAGUAUCCAGAAGCAAUCAAUACCAACAAGAAGAGUGGAAGGUAACACUAGCAGAAGACCUGCCCACCACCGUGUCAUAUCUCCAAGAUUAUAUUUGGGGGAGUCCAAGGGGUAUUGGGUUUGCUCAAGACUCAAAUCCUGUAGGAGAAGAUGGGGGCAAAGAACCAGCAAAGUGGGAGGAAAGCUAAGCUUGACAGCGUAGGGAUGAGAGUGGCUGCACCAGCUUGCAUUCCCAUCAACAGUGUAAGAGGGUCACAGAGGGACUCUUAAAUGACCAAAGAGGAAUGACAGCCAGAGCUGAGUGGAAUUCAUCCUAACUACCUCAGUCAAGGCCAAUCUGCAGCAGACAAAGUGAAAUUCACUGCUUAAGAGAAUCCUGUUUCCAGGUUACACUGCCCAGAAGGAAGGGAACUGUAGUGGCUCAGAUUGGUUUCCUCUUCUCUUCAAUCCUAUGGCCAAGUAUGGCCACUGGGUUAGCUGGGUCCUCUGUGACGGAGACCUUGAGAUGGAGUUAGGAGCAUAAGAGGUUUGUUGGGAUGUAAGACCUGUGAAAGAGAAAAGGAAGAGGAAGCUGGAUUGCGCGGGGGAAGUUUUCACAACAUGAUGCAGGCCUGACACCUGCUACAGGAGAGUGGGGAGGAAGCAGGAUCCGGCAGGAAGAGCCUCAGGCCAUGAUGCAGACACGAGGGGAGCUCCAGAGUGAAGAUUAUCUGUUAGAGGUGUUCCAUGUUGGCAGAAACGUCCAGGCUUCAGUACCCUGUAGUGCUUAGUCAUUAGGUAGGAGUUGCCUGGAACCAGGUUGGCCUGGGCUCAAAAGUUGAGGCAGAUUCUGCAGGUGUUAACGACUGGAGGCUGUCAGCUGACUCUACUCUUGCGCUUCCUGACUCCAGGUCUUUCUUGAACUGAGAAAGUUCCAGAAGGAAGAAUCCAGAGGCUUUCACCAGGACACACAACAACGAUCUUAUUGAAAUGGAAGUUAAGACUGCCACCUGGCCACUUGGGCUUCUCAUGCCUCCAAAUCAAUAAGCAAAGAAAGAAGUAACUGAGUGGGAUGACUGAUCCUGACUACCAGGGGAAACUGGACUACCACUCAUAAUGGAGGUAGAAGAGUACAUGUGGAAUACAGAAGAUCUCUUAGGGCAUCUCUUAGUAUUACCAUGUCCUGUGAUUAAGAUCAGUGGAAAACUACAACCCCAUCCAGGUGGGACUACUGAUGGUCCAGAUCUUUCAGUGAUGAAGGUCUGGGUCUCCCUCCCAGCAACUGAAACGAGCUUCUGACAUCUUAGAAACCAUCUCUUCAAAUGGGAAUGUUAAUACAGGGCCAAAGACAGAUGCUGGCAAGCAAAGCAGACACACUUGCCAAGGAUAACUGAGAAUGUAAGGACGAUCCUUGCCUGGGCAGCUUGAGCAGGCUGUGUGCUAAAUGCAACUUCGAACCAUGCCCUAUAAAUAGCUGUUCAUUGUCAGCGUGUGUGAAAAGACAAGAGUGGGCGUGUGGUGGUAUGAUUCAGGCCUAAUUAAGUAGUUGCGUCUGCGCAGGGUUACAAGGA